GAGUUUGAUCAUGGCUCAGGACGAACGCUGGCGGCGUGCCUAAUACAUGCAAGUAGAACGCUGAAGAGAGGAGCUUGCUCUUCUUGGAUGAGUUGCGAACGGGUGAGUAACGCGUAGGUAACCUGCCUUGUAGCGGGGGAUAACUAUUGGAAACGAUAGCUAAUACCGCAUAACAAUAGGUGACACAUGUCAUUUAUUUGAAAGGGGCAAUUGCUCCACUACAAGAUGGACCUGCGUUGUAUUAGCUAGUAGGUGAGGUAACGGCUCACCUAGGCGACGAUACAUAGCCGACCUGAGAGGGUGAUCGGCCACACUGGGACUGAGACACGGCCCAGACUCCUACGGGAGGCAGCAGUAGGGAAUCUUCGGCAAUGGGGGCAACCCUGACCGAGCAACGCCGCGUGAGUGAAGAAGGUUUUCGGAUCGUAAAGCUCUGUUGUAAGUCAAGAACGAGUGUGAGAGUGGAAAGUUCACACUGUGACGGUAGCUUACCAGAAAGGGACGGCUAACUACGUGCCAGCAGCCGCGGCAAUACGUAGGUCCCGAGCGUUGUCCGGAUUUAUUGGGCGUAAAGCGAGCGCAGGCGGUUUGAUAAGUCUGAAGUUAAAGGCUGUGGCUCAACCAUAGUUCGCUUUGGAAACUGUCAAACUUGAGUGCAGAAGGGGAGAGUGGAAUUCCAUGUGUAGCGGUGAAAUGCGUAGAUAUAUGGAGGAACACCGGUGGCGAAAGCGGCUCUCUGGUCUGUAACUGACGCUGAGGCUCGAAAGCGUGGGGAGCGAACAGGAUUAGAUACCCUGGUAGUCCACGCCGUAAACGAUGAGUGCUAGGUGUUGGAUCCUUUCCGGGAUUCAGUGCCGCAGCUAACGCAUUAAGCACUCCGCCUGGGGAGUACGACCGCAAGGUUGAAACUCAAAGGAAUUGACGGGGGCCCGCACAAGCGGUGGAGCAUGUGGUUUAAUUCGAAGCAACGCGAAGAACCUUACCAGGUCUUGACAUCCCGAUGCUAUUUCUAGAGAUAGAAAGUUACUUCGGUACAUCGGUGACAGGUGGUGCAUGGUUGUCGUCAGCUCGUGUCGUGAGAUGUUGGGUUAAGUCCCGCAACGAGCGCAACCCCUAUUGUUAGUUGCCAUCAUUCAGUUGGGCACUCUAGCGAGACUGCCGGUAAUAAACCGGAGGAAGGUGGGGAUGACGUCAAAUCAUCAUGCCCCUUAUGACCUGGGCUACACACGUGCUACAAUGGUUGGUACAACGAGUUGCGAGUCGGUGACGGCAAGCUAAUCUCUUAAAGCCAAUCUCAGUUCGGAUUGUAGGCUGCAACUCGCCUACAUGAAGUCGGAAUCGCUAGUAAUCGCGGAUCAGCACGCCGCGGUGAAUACGUUCCCGGGCCUUGCACACACCGCCCGUC
rnacentral:rRNA from 1 species